rnacentral:rRNA from 1 species
GCUUGACACUGAACAUUGAGCCUUGAUGUGUAGGAUAGGUGGGAGGCUUUGAAGUGUGGACGCCAGUCUGCAUGGAGCCGACCUUGAAAUACCACCCUUUAAUGUUUGAUGUUCUAACGUUGGCCCGUUAUCCGGGUUGCGGACAGUGUCUGGUGGGUAGUUUGACUGGGGCGGUCUCCUCCUAAAGAGUAACGGAGGAGCACGAAGGUUGGCUAAUCCUGGUCGGACAUCAGGAGGUUAGUGCAAUGGCAUAAGCCAGCUUGACUGCGAGCGUGACGGCGCGAGCAGGUGCGAAAGCAGGUCAUAGUGAUCCGGUGGUUCUGAAUGGAAGGGCCAUCGCUCAACGGAUAAAAGGUACUCCGGGGAUAACAGGCUGAUACCGCCCAAGAGUUCAUAUCGACGGCGGUGUUUGGCACCUCGAUGUCGGCUCAUCACAUCCUGGGGCUGAAGUAGGUCCCAAGGGUAUGGCUGUUCGCCAUUUAAAGUGGUACGCGAGCUGGGUUUAGAACGUCGUGAGACAGUUCGGUCCCUAUCUGCCGUGGGCGCUGGAGAACUGAGGGGGGCUGCUCCUAGUACGAGAGGACCGGAGUGGACGCAUCACUGGUGUUCGGGUUGUCAUGCCAAUGGCACUGCCCGGUAGCUAAAUGCGGAAGAGAUAAGUGCUGAAAGCAUCUAAGCACGAAACUUGCCCCG